AUGUUGUGAUGAGCGCAAGAAUGAAAGAGUCUCUUAUAACGGUCCCAAUAUUCAUAGAAGGGUUUCUCAUCCAUUUGUUGGAUCCCUACAAUCUCUUUUCUGAUUGU
rfam:Prunus persica cultivar Lovell chromosome G7, whole genome shotgun sequence.